UACGGGGGGGGCAAGCGUUGUUCGGAAUUACUGGGCGUAAAGGGCUCGUAGGUGGCCAACUAAGUCAGACGUGAAAUCCCUCGGCUUAACCGAGGAACUGCCUCCCAAACUGCUUGGCUUGAGACCGGGAGAGGUGAGUGGAAUUCCCAGUGUAGCGGUGAAAUGCGUAGAUAUCUGGAGGAAUACCGGUGGCGAAGGCGGCAUCCUGGACCAUAACUGACGCUGAGGCGCGAAAGCUAGGGGAGCAAACGGG
rnacentral:rRNA from 1 species